rfam:Bombyx mori DNA, contig: Bm_scaf93_contig34849, strain: p50T/Dazao, build 2, whole genome shotgun sequence.
UUAACUCAAAUUUGUAUAGAGUCGGAACGUUUGCCUAGAUUUGCCGCUAGGGGCGCUGUUCCAACUGCAUACAAAUUUACUUUU